ensembl:lncRNA
CACAAAUCUACAGUAGUUCUUUCGACAGUUGACCAAGACACUUUCCUGAUUGCUCCCUCCAGAGAGUAAAGCCUGUGUAGAAGGGUGCCUUGUGCUCUGUCCUCCAGAGGACUGUCUGUGCCAGAAAAUGCAGGAGAUGUGGAUGGUGGGAUGAUCUGGGGGAGGCCGAGGGGGAUGGAGACGUAUGUAAAACCACAGGCAGGGGGAACACCAUCAUCCCAGGUAAGCAGAGCUGAGGGUCUGAGGACCUAGGCGGGAGUGAGAAAGGGCUGGGGGAGAGGAGACUGCAGCCACCAGGGAACUCCUGAAUUUUAUUUUCCAAAGGAGACAAAGGAAAGUGCAAACAGGUUGGGAGGAGGGUAGAGACAUACCAGAUAUCAUGUUCCUAGCAAAGGUCAAAGGACACAGAAAAUUAUCCUGGCAUAUUUUCACCAAGUGCCAUAGUGUAUAACCACCUGCAAGGCAUCAAAGCCACAGGUUGGUGUGCAGCUCCCAGGCAGCAGGGCUGUUUGAUCACUGAUGCCAGCACCGAGGUGCCUCUUUGGGUGCUCAAGCAAGGUUGUCUGUGGCCACUGAACUCUCACCUUGAAAGGGAGAGCCUUGCAGCACUCUCAUAAAUAGUUGUGAGCUGCUGAUUGGUAGAUGCCCUAGUGAGGUGAGGAGCAGGGAGGCCCAGUGUCACAGCAUGUUAGGUAUUUAUUGCUGCAUUAAAAUUACCCUAAAACUGGGAGUUCCCAUUGUGGCUCAGCAGUAACAAAUCCAGCUAGUAUCCAUGUAGAGGGGGGUUCAAUCCCUGGCCAUGCCCAGUGAGUUAAGGAUAUGGCAUUGCUGUGAGCUAUUGUAUAGGUCACAGGUGUAGCUCGGAUCCUGAGUUGCUGUGGCUGUGGCUGUGGCCAGAAGCUGCAGCUCUGAUUCAACCCCUAGCCUGGGAACUUCCAUAUGCCAUGGGUGCAGACUUAAAAAGACCAAAAAAAAAAAAAAAUUACCGUAAAACUUAAUAACUUAAAACAGGAAACGUUUGUUAUCUCAUUCAGCCUGUGUGGGUCAGAAAUUUGGGAAUAACUUAGUGGGUCAUUCUGGCUCACCUUUUUCCUGAGACAUCGCACAGUCCAGAGGUCAGUAGGGGCUGCAGUCAUCCGAAGGUUUGACUGGGGUUAAAUGAUCCUUCCAAGGUGGUUCAUCACAUACCUGGUAAGUUCCUUUUUUAAUCUUUCUUCUCUCUCUCUCUGUGCCUACAGCAUGCAGAAGUUCUGGGCAGGGAUCAAGCCCACACCACAGCAGUGUCACCAGAUCCCUAACCCACCGCACCUCCAGGGAACUCCCACCUGGUGCGUUUCUCCUUGCUAUCGGCAAAAGGCCUUUGCCCUUCACCUUGUGGACAUCUCUGCAGGGCUGGCUGAGUGCCCACAUGGCAUGGCAGCUGGCUUUUUCCAGGAUAAGUAACAAGAGUGGAAGAUGGGGACAGAGAGGGAGAGGGAGUGGGAAGCCACAAUAUCUUUCAUAACCUGGGUUCAGGUCACUUCUGCCACAUGCUACUUGUUAGCAGCCAGUCAUUAAAUCUUGUUCUCACAGAAGAGGGAAAUGAAGCUCUACCUCUUGAAGAGAGGAGUAUCAAUUCAUGGACAUAUUUUAAAACCACCCCGAACAGGGCAGAUGGCCCACAGAGGGUGGCUGGGUGGUUAUCACCCAGAUGGCUGGGGCAGCGCCUGUGGAAGACUGUGUGUCUCCUGCAGCCCCUGGAACAGCUGCACGUGGUUUCACUUGGGAGCUUUAAAAAUAAAUAGCAGCACCAGAGUCCCAGCGCAGAGAGAAUAAGAAUCUCUGGGGAGUGGAGCCUGGGAAUCUGCAUUUUUAAAGCUUCUCGCAUAAUUAUGAGCACAGGAGUUUGGAGAACCGCUGCUUAGACCAGUGUUGUCCAAUGGAAAUAUAACAUAAGUUGAAUAUGUAAGCAAACAUUUUCUAGUCUUCACCUUAAAAAAGAGAAACAGAUGAAGUUAAUUUUAAUAUAUGUUAUUUUCCUGAUAUACCCAGUUUAUUAUCAUUUCAACAUGUCAUCAAUAUAAAAAAAAGUUUUUUUCAUACCAAGUGUUUAGAAUCCAGUAUACAUUUUACACCUAUGGGACAUUUCAAAUUGGAUCAGUUGCCAUGCAUCUAGUAACUAACAUAUUUAUUGAUCAGUGCAGGUCUUAACUAUAAGUCCCAUGAGAGCAGGUACCUUCUCUCUUUGGUUUCCUGCUUUGCACAGAGCCUGGCGCGUGGUAUGUAUUUAUAAAAUAUUUGUUGGAGUUCUCACUGUAGCACAACGGGAUCUGUGGUGUCUCUGCAGUGCCAGGAUGCAGGUUUGAUUCCUGGCACAGUGGGUCAGCUGUGGUGUAGGAUCUGACCCCUGGUCCAGGAACUCCAUAUGCCAUGGGACAGCCAAAAAAGAAAAAAAAAUUAUUGAAUAGACUAAUAAUGUAUUGAUAUGAAAUUAAAAGUGAAUUAUAAAGUAUACAUAUUAUAAUUCUAAAAGAUUUCUGUGGCUUCUAGCUUUUCCCAAAAAAUACUGAGCUACUGUAUACAAUGCUGAAAAUCUUCACAAGAAACCAUUUUGAAGCUUUCUUACUGGUCUGGUAUUCAAUCUGAAGCAAUCUAAAGAGUUUUAUCCUCUGUGUAUGUGAUCUGACCACUAAAGCUUACAUAUACUUCUUACAUUCAAAGCGCAGCCUGGAUCCAUCCUUGAACCCAGCCCUGCUAUACCCCUCAGCUCCUGGUCAGUCCAGGGCUGUAUGUUUCUGGACUUAGUGGUCUGUGGCAGAGGGGGAUGUUGGAUCUCCCAGUCAUGUGGCCAGAAGCCAAAUUUCCUGGCUCAUCUUCUUGAGCGUUAAUCUGUUUCAAGAACUGUUCCAACACAUUGAAAGAAGCUCUUGGUUUAUUCUUUGGGUUUUUUUUACUCUUCAGAAUUGAAAACCUCUGAGCUCCCUGGUGGCUCAGAGGGUUAAGGAUCAGAUGUUGUCACUGCUGUGGCUCAGGUUCGAUCAUGCCAUAGGAGUGGCCAAAAAAAAAAAAAAAAAAAAAAAA